GACGAACGCUGGCGGCGUGCCUAAUGCAUGCAAGUCGGACGGGCGCCCUCUUCGGGGGGUGUCAGUGGCGAACGGGUGAGGAACACGUGCAUAACCUACCCUGGGGUGGGGGAUAGCCGGCAGAAAUGCCGGGUAAGCCCGCAUAUGCUCUCAUGGCGGUGGCGAUGAGAGGAAAGCCUUCGGGCGCCCUGGGAGGGGAGCGCGGCCCAUCAGCUAGACGGUUGGGGAAGGGCCGACCGUGGCGAUGACGGGUCGCUGGUCUGAGAGGAUGACCAGCCACACGGGGACGGAGAGACGGCCCCGACUCCUACGGGAGGCAGCAGCAAGGGAUUUUCCGCAAUGGGCGCAAGCCUGACGGAGCGACGCCGCGUGCGGGAUGACGUCUUUCGGGAUGUAAACCGCUUUUCCGGGGGAGGAGGACGGACAGUACCCUGGGAAGAAGCCCCGGCUAACUACGUG
rnacentral:rRNA from 1 species